UACGUAGGUGGCAAGCGUUGUCCGGAUUUACUGGGCGUAAAGCGUGCGCAGGCGGUUCUGAAAGUCAGCUGUGAAAGCCCCGGGCUUAACCUGGGAACUGCGGUUGAAACUACAGGACUAGAAUCUGGCAGAGGGGGGUGGAAUUCCACGUGUAGCAGUGAAAUGCGUAGAGAUGUGGAGGAACACCGAUGGCGAAGGCAGCCCCCUGGGCUGAGAUUGACGCUCAGGCACGAAAGCGUGGGGAGCAAACAGG
rnacentral:rRNA from 1 species